rnacentral:rRNA from 1 species
AUUGAACGCUGGCGGCAUGCUUUACACAUGCCAGUCGAACGGCAGCGCGGGCUUCGGCCUGGCGGCGAGUGGCGAACGGGUGAGUAAUACAUCGGAACGUGCCCAGUAGUGGGGGAUAGCUCGGCGAAAGCCGGAUUAAUACCGCAUACGACCUGAGGGUGAAAGCGGGGGACCUUCGGACCUCGCGCUAUUGGAGCGGCCGAUGGCAGAUUAGCUAGUUGGUGGGGUAAAGGCCUACCAAGGCGACGAUCUGUAGCUGGUCUGAGAGGACGACCAGCCACACUGGGACUGAGACACGGCCCAGACUCCUACGGGAGGCAGCAGUGGGGAAUUUUGGACAAUGGGCGAAAGCCUGAUCCAGCAAUGCCGCGUGUGUGAUGAAGGCCUUCGGGUUGUAAAGCACUUUUGGCGGGAACGAAAAGGACUGUGCCAAUACCACGGUUCGAUGACGGUACCCGCAGAAUAAGCACCGGCUAACUACGUG